GGGAAAUUUAUCGUGUGCAAGAAAAAAAAGAAAAAGAAUAGCCUCUCAUAACCUUAAAAAAACCCAACAUGAAGCAUCUAUAUUGGGCAGAUUUAUGUUAGGGAAUGACGACACUUAGAAAGGAAGCACAUCAAAUGUCUUGCAGUUUGAGACUACUUCUAAACAUCAGUAGGUCAGCCACUUCACAGCUUUUUCAUGCCUUGGGCCUCAUGUUCACACCCACUUAUGGUGCCCCUUUGCUUCAGGGGCCCCAGAAUCUCUCACUUCUAUCUUGAGGUUCAACCUGGAGGGAUCCUACUGGCCCCAGAUGUCAAAGCACUCGAGUAGUGCCGUCGCUUGAACUUGAGUUGCUCAUGUGCUGUGAUGAAUUCGGGCUCUGGCCAAGAAAGAGGAACGGCUUUGAGAAAUGUGAAAAGGGCAGCAGAUGCAAAACCUGGCAUCAGAGGACGCCUAAUGCUGACUGAGGGAUGACAGGCUUUGAAACCAAAAGGAGGAGACUUAGGGCAGAUGCUGCACAGAUGGGAGAAUCCAAGAAGAGCUGCCUGGGGAGGAGAGGAUGUGAUCAAAGCAGUGCUCACGCUGGAUGGACAUCAGUGGAAAGAGGCUUCAAGCUGGUUAAAACAACAGAAAAGGGAAAAAGAAAAGCAAGACAUUUUUCAGAUGGAGGCCCCCAAGCUUUACCCGUACCUCCCGCCACGACAGCGCCUCCAUAGAUCUGCUGAGGGCCUAACAAACCCUACCAAACAAUAGCAUCUUGUCAAGGACCUGAUGGGAAGUUGACAUGUUUCCAGCUCAUCUUGAUUGUUUUUUCACUUGGUGGGUUGACAGGGGAGUCAUCACCGCCCAGGAUUCCGUAUCUUGGGCAAAUAUACCACUGUGGAGUUAAGACCAGUGGGGAUCGGUCUCUUCUCCCACGUAACAGCAAUAGGAUGAGAAGUGUCGGCCUCAAGCUGUGCCAGGGGAGGUUCAGGUGGAGUGUUAGGGAACAUUUCUUCUCAAAAAGAGUGCUAAUGCAUUGAGAUAGGCUGCCCAGGGAGGUGGUUCCAUAAAAGUGGAGACGUGGCACUAAUGGACAUGGUCAGUGGGCG
ensembl:lncRNA